CUGGAGGUAUCAGAAGUGCGAAUGCUGACGUGAGUAACGACAAAACGGGUGAAAAACCCGUUCGCCGAAAGACCAAGGGUUCCAGUCCAACGUUAAUCGGGGCUGGGUGAGUCGACCCCUAAGGCGAGGCCGAAAGGCGUAGUCGAUGGGAAAAUGGUUAAUAUUCCAUUACUUCUGUGUAAUGCGAUGAGAGGACGGAGAAGGCUAAAUCAGCCUGGCGUUGGUUGUCCAGGUGAAAGGAUGUAGGCAUGUAUCUUAGGCAAAUCCGGGGUACUCUAUGCUGAGAUCUGAUAGCAAGCUGUACUUGUACAGCGAAGUGGUUGAUGCCAUGCUUCCAGGAAAAGUCUCUAAGCUUCAGUUACACAGGAAUCGUACCCGAAACCGACACAGGUGGUCAGGUCGAGUAGACCAAGGCGCUUGAGAGAACUCUGCUGAAGGAACUAGGCAAAAUGGUACCGUAACUUCGGGAGAAGGUACGCUGUUGUUGGUGAUGGAACUCGCUUCCUGAGCUGACGACAGCCGCAGAAACCAGGCCGCUGCAACUGUUUAUUAAAAACAUAGCACUCUGCAAACACGAAAGUGGACGUAUAGGGUGUGAUGCCUGCCCGGUGCUGGAAGGUUAAUUGAUGGGGUUAGCGUAAGCGAAGCUCUUGAUCGAAGCCCCAGUAAACGGCGGCCGUAACUAUAACGGUCCUAAGGUAGCGAAAUUCCUUGUCGGGUAAGUUCCGACCUGCACGAAUGGCAUAAUGAUGGCGGCGCUGUCUCCAGCAGAGGCUCAGUGAAAUCGAAAUCGCUGUGAAGAUGCAGUGUACCCGCGGCUAGACGGAAAGACCCCGUGAACCUUUACUGCAGCUUGACACUGAACUUUGACCUUACUUGUGUAGGAUAGGUGGGAGGCUUUGAAGCUGGAACGCUAGUUCCAGUGGAGCCGUCCUUGAAAUACCACCCUGGUAAUGUUGAGGUUCUAACUCUGUCCCGUGAUCCGGGACGAGGACCGUGUCUGGUGGGUAGUUUGACUGGGGCGGUCUCCUCCUAAAGAGUAACGGAGGAGUACGAAGGUGCGCUCAGCGUGGUCGGAAAUCACGCGUAGAGUAUAAAGGCAAAAGCGCGCUUAACUGCGAGACCCACAAGUCGAGCAGGUACGAAAGUAGGUCUUAGUGAUCCGGUGGUUCUGUAUGGAAGGGCCAUCGCUCAACGGAUAAAAGGUACUCUGGGGAUAACAGGCUGAUACCGCCCAAGAGUUCAUAUCGACGGCGGUGUUUGGCACCUCGAUGUCGGCUCAUCUCAUCCUGGGGCUGAAGCAGGUCCCAAGGGUAUGGCUGUUCGCCAUUUAAAGAGGUACGCGAGCUGGGUUUAGAACGUCGUGAGACAGUUCGGUCCCUAUCUACCGUGGGCGCUGGAAAUUUGAGAGGAUCUGCUCCUAGUACGAGAGGACCAGAGUGGACGAACCUCUGGUGUACCGGUUGUGACGCCAGUCGCAUCGCCGGGUAGCUAUGUUCGGAAGGGAUAACCGCUGAAAGCAUCUAAGCGGGAAGCCUACCUCAAGAUAAGAUUUCCCUAGGACUUUAUGUCCUCUAAAGAGCCGUUCGAGACUAGGACGUUGAUAGGUUGGAUGUGGAAGCAUAGUGAUAUGUGAAGCUGACCAAUACUAAUUGCUCGUGAGGCUUGACUA
rnacentral:rRNA from 1 species